GGGGGGGGCGGGGACAGACUCCCCAGCCACACUGGACAACCAGGAGAGAGAGGCACUGCUUGAGGUCCAAACGCUGUACCUGGACGAGGAGGAAGCGCUGCAGUGGACCUCUGGUGAUUACGAGGGACUUCCACCGAGCAUUCUGGGAGUCAGAGUUCCGUCCUGUGGCUCAGAGGCUGAGGGACAGGAUCCAGACUCAAACUGUCUGCCAUCUACACAGUCUCCCUCCCUAAAGUGUGAUGUCCUUGCCUUUCUUCUUGCUGUGCCCUGCAUCCAGUGUGUCUGUACUCAACACACUUUACCUUCUGGUUCUACCACGCUCUCUAAUUCCAUUAGUAAGGUCCUGACCAGGCACAACUCUGGGACUUAGUUAUAGGCUGCUUGGGUUGAGUGUUUUCCAAGUCAGGAAACCUUCUUGGCCCUAGCUAUGGCAUAUUUUGAGCCUCUGACCUGUAUGACAAACUGUUUUUGUUGUACCAUAUUAUAACUGGUAAUGUAAUAUUAUUAUCAUAAGCUACUCUUACAUCGCAAUAAUUGUAAACUGCUUCUGUGGUGAUAAAAAGUUCAGACAUUGUUAAUCUGUGAACUGCUGUAAGUAAUAAACCACAACACAAAGUGUGGUAAACGUUCUCCUUCUCAAAGCCUUUAUUGUUACAGAUAUGGACCAGGCCAGGCAGUACUGCUGCAAAGUUAGCAAAGAACAGCGCUUUUUAAAUCACAUCAAAUAAGUACAAAAACAGCACUUCUGUCAAGAUAAAGUAAACCUAUCCUGCAAUAAUAACGCCUUACAGUGACCACAACCCAAUAGCAUUUCAUCAGCCAUAGUUAAUGACACACAUGGUUCUCUACAUGAUACACACCUGUCCGUCUGGGUUGAUAAAGUUAGUUAGUUGGGUAAUUGUGGAGGUAUUAAGUGCAUCUAUUGUUUAUAAUAGUCUCAUCCUGUUCAGAUUGUCGUAGGGAAAUGAGGCAGUUCAGUAUCAGUAGAGAUAUGGACCAAGUCACCCUCUGUUUGCCCUUAAUAGAAAAGUCCCUGAACAUCCAGAGAAUUCAGUCUACAGCCAGUCAUCCACAAGGAUGCCAGGGAGUUUCCGCAGGGAGAACGGAACAGGACAGGAAGGUGAGCAGAGUAGAGGUCAAAGGUGAUCCUAGAAGGAAUUUUCCCUCAUCUCACUGCACAUUAGACAGGUCCAAGUGUUCUAGCACAACAGGUGUGGGAGUAACGUUCAACCUUGGACUCGUCAACACAAGCAAACAUUGAACCACAGAGUUCAGUGUAGUAUAAAAUGGGAGGACUGACUCCCCACUGGACAAAAACAAGUUGAAUCAACAUUUUGACAUGAUUUCAACAACAAAAAAUGAAAUGGGUUGACGUUGAAUGGACGAGGAAAAAAGCAAUCAAAACAAGACAAUUUAGUAUUUCUUCACCUAAAUCCAAUGAGAUGGUGACUUUUCUUCAUGUUAGUCGACAAGUCAACCAAAUCUAAAUCAAAACUAGACAUUGAACCAGUGGGCCCACACUCAACACAUGUGGUUGUACAAAACAUUUAUUGAUGUGUGGGACUCAUUUGCAUUAACUGUGCAAAAUGCAUCUGUAAUAGCCAAAUGUUUCCUACAUCAUUACUGAAGACAUAUUGUAAAUUGUCAUUGAUGGAGAUCAGAAGUGUAUUGUUCAGGUUGGAGAUAAUACAUGCAUGUGUGCUGUGACUACAACUCGGUGGGCUUGUUUCAUGAAUGAUUCAAUGUAUAGAUUAUUUAUAUGUAAUAAUGAUAUGAUUAUGUUGAUGCAGCAGCAACAGUUCUAUGGAGAAAACAGAAAAAUACAAUGAUUCAAUAACAUAUUCCAUUUUUUUUUUAUAUAAAAAGUUUCAGUAUCUGACAGUCAGAAGUUUGAUAAAACCUCUACACUUCCUCUCACAACCACCCCCAAAUAAUGUACCAUUCCAUAAUCAUCCUCAUCUUCCUCCUCCUCUUAACGUGAAACAAUCAUU